rnacentral:rRNA from 1 species
UACGUAGGGUGCGAGCGUUGUCCGGAAUUAUUGGGCGUAAAGGGCGCGUAGGCGGCCACCGCAAGUCGGUUGUGAAAUCUCUGGGCUUAACCCAGAAAGGUCAACCGAUACUGCGGGGCUAGAGUGCAGAAGGGGCAACUGGAAUUCUCGGUGUAGCGGUGAAAUGCGUAGAUAUCGAGAGGAACACCUGCGGCGAAGGCGGGUUGCUGGGCUGACACUGACGCUGAAGCGCGAAAGCUAGGGGAGCGAACGGG